ACCGAACAAAAGGAAACGCACUGCCGGCUUCCACAUGAGUGAUUCCAGCAAGAAAACAAUCUAUGCCGAGGAGGACAUCGAACCUGGGGUUUCCUGGCAUCCCUUUGUAGGCUCCCUUUACACCUCCAGAAUUAGCCUGUUUCAGUCUCCCGCACAACAAAAGCCAAAGACAGAUUCUUACCGUUGAAUCCAAGCACUUUGCAAAGCCAAAGCCAAAAUCUUUGGUAUGACAUUACCCAGCACUUAAUUCCUAGAUGUUUUUCUUAGUUUUCAUUCUCUAGGGCCUUUGGGUGUCUCUCCAGCCUUCAGCUUUCUUAUUAAGUCCAAUACUAAGGGAUGAUCCUAUGUCCCCAGAGCCAGUGUGGUUGACUCAGAUGGCCCUCCGGGCACAGCCACACCCAUCCGCUGGGCUGAACCGCCACCUCCCCGUGGGAGGCAGGGCCACUCCGGGAGCUGGCCAGGGAUGGCUGCACUCGUGGGGUGGGAGAGUGACAUCGUCUGUCUCUGGCGUCCGCUUCCACUCAGGAAAGAAGGGACAUUUGUCUCAAGAGUUGCAUCCAGUGUCCCAGGGUGUGCCCAUGGAGGGCCCAGCCUCAGGACCACCUUCCUCAGGCAGUCACAGGUACCAGGCUGUGAACUCCGCCGGGGCUGGACCUUCUCUGUCUUCUUCACUGUGCGUGUCCCUGGUGCCCAGGACAGUGGCUGGCACACAGUGGGAGACAAGUCGCUACUAAUAGUCACAGGACAAACUGAUGCCUGAGCAGAAGCAGGCCUUGGAGACCAUCCGUUCCUGGCCUCCAUUCUAGGCUUAGAAAGUUCAGUACAGGGCCCUUCCCACCCCUGUCGGAAUCCUUGAAGACCAUCUGCAAUGUCUCAUUUCCUCGCCUGGGAAUAAAUACCUUUUCCGGUG